AAGGAUGGAGACGCCACAAGAAAUAUGGCUUAGGGGUCCAGCUCCUUGAGCGCCAAGUGCCUGCACAAGUUGGACCUGAAGCAGUGGACCCUCAUGCAUGAGUAAAGAAUAAAGGAGCUUUCUGACUCUUUCCUGGGUGAAUGCUUGGUUUCUUUGCUGUUCGAAGAAGAUUUUUUCCAUAACACUUCCAGAACUGUGAAAACUUGCCAGCAAGGAGGAAGUCUGCAGGUCAGCACUAGCUUGAUUGCUCCAUGCCCUGUGACCAAAGUGUGUAUUGUCUUCAUCAAUUGGGUCUUACCAUCAAGUUCUGGUGGACAGCUAAGAUCAAUGGUCUUUGGGAUCUCCUUACAAUUCUGUGUAUUUCUAUCUCACUGUUCUUUGUUUUCAUAAAGCUUCUACAUUCGUUAUCUUGAAUACGUAAGUUUUUAAAAAACUAUUUGAAAUUAAUGUAAUAUAUAUUUUAUAUCAAUAAACAUCCAGUCAGAAAAA